UACAGAGGGGGCAAUCGUUGUUCGGAAUUACUGGGCGUAAAGGGCGCGUAGGCGGCCUUCUAAGUCGAACGUGAAAUCCCCGGGCUCAACCCGGGAACUGCGUCCGAUACUGGAAGGCUUGAAUCCGGGAGAGGGAUGUGGAAUUCCAGGUGUAGCGGUGAAAUGCGUAGAUAUCUGGAGGAACACCGGUGGCGAAGGCGACAUCCUGGACCGGUAUUGACGCUGAGGCGCGAAAGCCAGGGGAGCAAACGGG
rnacentral:rRNA from 1 species